UGUGACGGCGCAGCCACACCGUGUGCACAGCCCAGAGGCGAGUUUUUACACCAUUUCUCGCCAACAAAUGGUAUCUUUGCUUCCUGAGUGUGAUCACAGGACUGGGAGCCGGGGUGACGACUGGAAUUAAAAUGAGGAGAGGAUAAUCCAAUUUAUUGAGCAUUUAUUAUGUGCCAGGUACUGUGAGAGGAAAUAAGAGUUGAGAAUCUUAAAAUGGAAACGUCUUGAGCUUCUUGUGGUCUGAUUCAUUCCUCAUAUAGACGAGUACAACGAGACCCAGAGAGAUGGAGUAAACUCCCUGAGAUCAUGAAACUGGAGUCAAGACCUCACAGUUAUUGCUGGGAGAAAUGUCAAUAACCUCAGAUACACAGAUGAUACCAGCCUUAUGGCAG